GACGAACGCUGGCGGCGCGCCUAACACAUGCAAGUCGAACGAGCAAAGAGGAGCUUGCUUCUCUGAGCGAGUGGCGAACGGGUGAGUAACGCGUGAGGAACCUGCCUCAAAGAGGGGGACAACAGUUGGAAACGACUGCUAAUACCGCAUAAGCCCACGGGUCGGCAUCGACCAGAGGGAAAAGGAGUAAUCCGCUUUGAGAUGGCCUCGCGUCCGAUUAGCUAGUUGGUGAGGUAAUGGCCCACCAAGGCGACGAUCGGUAGCCGGACUGAGAGGUUGAACGGCCACAUUGGGACUGAGACACGGCCCAGACUCCUACGGGAGGCAGCAGUGGGGAAUAUUGCACAAUGGGGGAAACCCUGAUGCAGCGACGCCGCGUGGAGGAAGAAGGUCUUCGGAUUGUAAACUCCUGUUGUUGGGGAAGAUGAUGACGGUACCCAACAAGGAAGUGACGGCUAACUACGUG
rnacentral:rRNA from 1 species